rnacentral:rRNA from 1 species
GACGAACGCUGGCGGCGUGCUUAACACAUGCAAGUCGAACGGAAAGGCCCUGCUUUUGUGGGGUGCUCGAGUGGCGAACGGGUGAGUAACACGUGAGUAACCUGCUCUUGACUUUGGGAUAACUUCAGGAAACUGGGGCUAAUACCGGAUAGGAGCUCCUGCUGCAUGGUGGGGGUUGGAACGUUUCGGCGGUUGGGGAUGGACUCGCGGCUUAUCAGCUUGUUGGUGGGGUGGUGGCUUACCAAGGCUUUGACGGGUAGGCGGCCUGGGAGGGGGACCGGCCACAAUGGGACUGAGAGACGGCCCAGACUCCUACGGGAGGCAGCAGUGGGGAAUAUUGCACAAUGGGCGGAAGCCUGAUGCAGAAACGCCGCGUGCGGGAUGACGGCCUUCGGGUUGUAAACCGCUUUCGCCUGUGACGAAGCGUGAGUGACGGUAAUGGGUAAAGAAGCACCGGCUAACUACGUG